UGCAUGGACUGUCAUUGACGAUCUUGGUCCACGAAUGUCCCUGCACCAUCCAUGCAUAAGGAUUCAACAUGUAAUCUGUAAUUCUUUAUUGCGAAACACCAAAUAAUUGUCGAGUUGAGUUGACGAGUUGAAGGACCCUCGUAUAGUCGUAUACGCAUAUUACUUUAUCUGAUUAGUGGAAUUUAAAGUUUGGUUUUACUACUGUUCAACUUAAACAUAACUGGCACUAACACUAUUUGUAUAGAUCUUUUUUGUCUCUUGAGAGACACUCGUCAUUGUAGUCUAGUGAUAUUUUUCUUUGUAAGUGAGAUGUUCGAAUCUCGUGAAUGGCAAAUUCAUUACCUAUAUUUUCUUUGAUCUAAUAAUGUACGUAGAAGUAUUGAUAUUGCUUUCAUAUUUACAUACGCAAUCAUUUGUAUUUUGUUUUUCCUUUUUCUAGGGCUGCAACUUUAUUGCACUAUUUUGUAAGGUUUCUUGUUUUGUCUUGGUUAAUUGGUUUGUUUUGGUGGGG
rnacentral:lncRNA from 1 species